rnacentral:lncRNA from 1 species
GAUCUUUUCUAGAUUCUGUUUGGUAGUCGCUCAAGCAUUCAGCGGCUCCCAUGGCCGUGCUUAAAUCAGUAACCUUCUGUCUUUGAAGUUCCGUGCGUGUCCACGGUUUCAACCCUUCCAUAAAGGUGAAGAGCUUGUCCUUUUCUGACAUAUCUCGAAUAUUCAGCAUAUGCCCUGAGAAGGAUUUCACAUACUCCCUGAUAGAGCUCGUGUGUUUCAAGUCUCGAAGAGCCCG